AGCGAACGCUGGCGGCAGGCCUAACACAUGCAAGUCGAGCGCUCAUCUUCGGAUGGGAGCGGCGCACGGGUGAGUAACACGUGGGAACCUACCUUGAAGUAUGGAAUAACUGAGGGAAACUUCAGCUAAUACCGUAUACGCCCUACGGGGGAAAGAUUUAUCGCUUCAAGACGGGCCCGCGUUGGAUUAGCUAGUUGGUGAGGUAAUGGCUCACCAAGGCGACGAUCCAUAGCUGAUUUGAGAGAAUGAUCAGCCACACUGGGACUGAGACACGGCCCAGACUCCUACGGGAGGCAGCAGUGGGGAAUAUUGGACAAUGGGCGCAAGCCUGAUCCAGCCAUGCCGCGUGAGUGAUGAAGGCCUUCGGGUUGUAAAGCUCUUUCAGAUGGGACGAUGAUGACGGUACCAUCAGAAGAAGCCCCGGCUAACUUCGUGCCAGCAGCCGCGGUAAUACGAAGGGGGCUAGCGUUGUUCGGAAUUACUGGGCGUAAAGCGCGCGUAGGCGGCUUUGUCAGUCAGGGGUGAAAUCCCGGGGCUUAACCUCGGAACUGCCUUUGAUACUGCAAGGCUUGAGUCUGUGAGAGGAUGGUGGAAUACCCAGUGUAGAGGUAAAAUUCGU
rnacentral:rRNA from 1 species